UACGUAGGGGGCGAGCGUUGUCCGGAGUUACUGGGCGUAAAGCGCACGCAGGCGGUCUGCUAAGUUUGGAGUGACAGUUGGUGGCUUAACUGCCAAAGUGCUUCGAAAACUGACAGACUUGAGGGCUUCAGAGGGAUACGGAAUUCCGGGUGGAGUGGUGAAAUGCGUAGAGAUCCGGAGGAACACCGACGGCGAAGGCAGCGCCCUGGACGAGACCUGACGCUCAGGCACGAAAGCUGGGGGAGCAAACAGG
rnacentral:rRNA from 1 species